GAGCGAUUCCUCGGCUGAACCUGCAGGAUCCACCCAGUGGGUUGUUAGAACAUACCAGGCAACCUCCUCCGAAACGUGCCCCAUUCUCCCCAGACGGUGCUGAGCGUAUUCGCACCAGCCUCCGCCGGAACGCGGGCUCUGUCUGUGUGCCGCGGCUGUGACCUGAGCUCCUGGCCGCUGUGGUGCAGGCAAUGACAUGGACAGCUGCGCCAUCAUUCAGGAGACCGCUGAGCACUUCUUUGACUGGGUAAGAUUCCUUUGCUUUUCCCACUACUGUCCUGAGCCAAACCUCCUCUCCCUGCCUUCACGCAAAGGUUCCAUGUUCAUAGACCACAGUUUGUUUCGGUCAAAGAAAAAAUACUGAAUUUAUUGCUAAGACCAUUGCACUGUUAAUGUUGGGAUUAAAGUAAACCAACCCUAAUAAGUAACAGCCACCAGUUACUUUCAACACCCCAGUUCCAGAGGUAAGCAUUAUGAAUGCAUAACGGCUACAGACCUGGGCCCUCCAGAGUAGCGUCAACGCAUGUGUCCUUCAGUCACAGGGAGAUUUCAUCCACCCCCACUCCCUGAGUUCAGCGUCUCUUAGAAAGGACCAGAAGCUGGGUGGCUCUGCCAGAACGGACCAGGCACUGGGUCUGCCAGAACGGACCAGGCACUGGGUCUGCCAGAACGGACCAGGCACUGGGUCUGCCAGAACGGACCAGGCGCUGGGUCUGCCAGAACGGACCAGGCGCUGGGUCUGCCAGAACGGACCAGGCGCUGGGUCUGCCAGAACGGACCAGGCACUGGGUUUGCCAGAAAUAAUUGCUUGUUUGCUGCUAUUUACUUAAAAUCUGUCAAAGCCUGAGAGAAAGCCGUAGAAUGUGGCAGCCGCAGCCCAACGUAGCUCAGUCAUUAUCUCCCGGUGGUGUUCCUGCCCACUUCAAGAGGCUGGACACCCUGUGUGAACGUGGUGGUUGUGUGCACGUGUGUUUGUGGAUGUAUUUGUGUGUGCAUGUUUGUGUUUAAG